CCCCAACUGGGGUGCUGAGAUUUGAGGAGGUGAAUCUAAGAGCUGUAAGACAGCUAAAUCUCAGGACCCCUGUCUUCUUUCUGUCCCCUCAGCUGAACCACAGUCCUCUGUACUCGCCCAGGAGCCACAGAGAGUGAACAUCCCUCAGGUGAGCUCUUUAUUCAUUCCCCACUUUAUAUUGUAAUGCAUUUAUAAGGUUUAGCAGGAUCCAUGCAUUAAAGGAAAAGAAGUAGAAAUAGAAAUCAAGUCAGUCUUGAGGAAAAACAUACUGUGUUUUACUAUUAAUUGUGAUGUUGGCUGUUAGCUUUGAGUGGGUAACCUUGUCAGGGUAAGUAGUUUCCCACUAAGCUACCUGUUUCAAUCUCUUUACUUGUGAUUGGGCUAUUCAGAUUCUCUGUUUCUUCUUGAUUCAGUUUUGGGAAGUUGUAUGAGUCUUAGAAUUUAUCUGUUUCUUCUAGAUUGUCCACUUUGUUGCUAUAUAGUUUUUCAUGGUAUUCUCUUAUAAUCCUUUAUAUUUCUGUGGUAUCUGUUGUAAUUUCUCCUCUUUCAUUUCUAAUUUUAUUUAUUUGAGCCUUCUCUCUUUUUUUCUUAGAGAGUCAGGCUAAGGGUUUGUCAAUUUUGCAUAUCUUCUCAAAGAACCAGUAAAAGUCUUGUUUAAUUAUCUGUCUCCCUUUUCAAGACCAGCUUCAAGUAUAAGAAGAAAUGGAAACCUAUUUUUCUGGUAACUUAUUUUCUAGAGACUCUCUUAUCAUGACUAUCUUCUACUUAGAGUGAUGCAAACUUGACAUUCCAUACCCAGUGUUAUUUCCCGUUAGUUUAGGUUUUAAUCUGCCUAUAUAGAAAUUUAACCAAGAACUGUUGUUGACAUCCUAAAGAGGUUAAAAAGACUAAAUCAGGAGCAGAUUCUCGUGGGGGAUAGGAGAGAAGAUAGUGAACAACAACCACCACAACGACUGGAGCAAUGUCUACAAAGGUUAUGGCAAGUUAUAAAGGAGGAGCCAUAUCUUGUCUUCAUCAGUGGACUAAAAUGGUUCUUAGGAACUGCAGAACGCUCAGUGAGGAGGCCGGAGAGAGGGCUCAGCAAGUCUCUUUCCCAGUCUAGGUCAGUGGCUUACAGAGUGGAGAAUGAGAAGAAAAUUUUAUACCUUCUAAUUAUAAGCAUUUUUUAUUUUAGAAAAAUGCCUGUAUUAGUCAGGGUUAUUCAGAGAAACAGAACCAAUAGGAAAUACAUAGAAAUUUAUAUACAUGUAUAAAAUAAGGAAUUGGCUCACGUGAUUAUGGAAGCUGAGAAGUCCCAACAUGUGCAGUAGGCAAGCUGGAGACCCAGGAUCGCUGACGGUGUAGUUCCAGCUCGAGUCUGAGUCCGAAAGCAGAAGAUUGAUGUCCCAGCUCAAAGAUAGGCAGGCAGAGAAAAAGAAUUCUGCCCCACAUAGCAUUUUGUUCUGUUCAGGACUUCAACAAAGUGGAUGAUGCUCACCCACAUUGGCAAGCAAUCUUCUUUACUAAGUCUACCGAAGCAAAUGUUAAUCUCAUCCAGAAACACCCUCAGACAGAUUAGAACAAUAUUUAAGCAGAUAUCUGGGCACCCCAUGGCCCAGUCAAGUUGACACAUAAAAUGAACUAUCACAGUGCCUUUGACAUUACUAAAGUAUUACAUUAUUGGAAGUCACAGAUACCAGUUUCCCUGUCUUUUCUGGUUUUUAUUUUCCUAAUAUUCUGUGGUUUGAAGAUGUGGAAUAAACAGUCUUUUUUCCACCAUUCUGCACUUCUAUGCAGGGAGGAUGAAGGUUUUGUCUCUCUAACUCCUGUUUCAUAGAAAGCGUGUGAUUUUAAGGUGAAAUUGUCAUUGAAAAUACAGUUGGAAAACCUGUCCAAUAACUGAGUCACCCCUGCCUUACGUGUAUUUAACACAACUAUUCUAUUAGGGAACAAAGUUGUGGUUAGUAACUUCAUCCUAAAUUGGCAGAGAAGAGAAUUGUUAUCUGGCAGAUGUUGGGUGGCAUGUGCAGUACAAAUUGAAAGUGUCCACAUAAUUCUUAGAGAGAGGCUUCCUCCCAUGAAUGGUGGAUUAUGAUUGAUCUUAGGAACCACCAUCUGCUCUAACAGUCUCUAUACUGAGUCUGAGUGAUGGAUAACACUGUGCAGAUGGGGUUAUUUUGGCAGGUGAAACUCAUGCCUGGGGUCUGCAUAGAAUUCCACAGUGGUAUCUAAUGAUCCUGUUGCUUUCACUAUUUGAGUUUGACUUAAAUUGAAAAGAAUUUGAGUAAAUAUCUAUUUUCAAGUUAUCGCGUG
rnacentral:lncRNA from 1 species